UACGUGAGGGUGCGAGCGUUGUCCGGAAUUACUGGGCGUAAAGAGUUCGUAGGCGGUUUGUCGCGUCGUUCGUGAAAACUUGGGGCUUAACUCCAAGCGUGCGGGCGAUGCGGGCAGACUUAGUACUACAGGGGAGACGUGGAAUUCCUGGUAGCGGUGAAAUGCGCAGAUAUCAGGAGGAACACCGGUGGCGAAGGCGGGUCUCUGGGUAGUAACUGACGCUGAGGAACGAAAGCGUGGGUAGCGAACAGG
rnacentral:rRNA from 1 species